AACGAACGCUGGCGGCAUGCCUAACACAUGCAAGUCGAACGAGACCUUCGGGUCUAGUGGCGCACGGGUGCGUAACGCGUGGGAAUCUGCCCUUGGGUUCGGAAUAACAGUUGGAAACGACUGCUAAUACCGGAUGAUGACGUAAGUCCAAAGAUUUAUCGCCCAAGGAUGAGCCCGCGUAGGAUUAGCUAGUUGGUGAGGUAAAGGCUCACCAAGGCGACGAUCCUUAGCUGGUCUGAGAGGAUGAUCAGCCACACUGGGACUGAGACACGGCCCAGACUCCUACGGGAGGCAGCAGUGGGGAAUUUUGGACAAUGGGCGCAAGCCUGAUCCAGCAAUGCCGCGUGCAGGAUGAAGGCCUUC
rnacentral:rRNA from 1 species